GGCUAGAUGGCCGAGCGGUUAUGGCGUGUGACUCAAGGUACCAUUCCUUACUCCACAACAGUGGUGUCUUCUCAUGGGGCAACCCGCGGGGGUUCGAAUCCCCCCCUAGUCA
rnacentral:tRNA from 1 species